rnacentral:sRNA from 12 species
CUUUAAAAAUUUAAAGAUUGCAACCUCGAUGAACAAUGCGAAUGCCAUCGCAUCGAGAAAUUCUCUACCAUUGUUAUGGGAAGCAGAGUAAAGAGAACGAAGGAUACUUUUUUCUUCUUUGCUUUUGAUCAUGAGUGAUCAUGUGAUACGAGUGAGAAACGAUCAAGUGUGUGGGAAUUGUGCAGACUGAUAAAUUUCAUAGCGCAAGGAACUUCUUGGGUGAGUAAUAGACGCCUCCGGUGGAGGAAUAACCUGUCCAAUGUCUUUCAUGUGGCAAUGAUCGAUAUGACAGGAAGCCAAAUAAUCACUUUUCGAUGUGAAACUGUAUAAAAUACAGUGUAUAAAAGAAGUCGCCGAUCCAUAGACCAAGUCGAGAAUGAUACAAAUUAUCAAAAUAGAAAAAAUAUACAGGUUUUUGAUAAAACUUAACAUUCUGAAUGGUGGUUCAAUGGUGCUCUUAGCAGUAGAGUCGUUGGGAUAUGCAAAUAUCGGACAUUUUGUCUUUGGGAAGAAGCUUAGAGUCGCUCUCGAAAGCUCAGACUUCCUUACCUCCGUCGCGUAAUAAUGAUCUCUUAUCAAGGACUGUAGGGCGAAGGCCACUGCAAUCUUUAAUAAAUCU